AUUGAACGCUGGCGGCAUGCUUUACACAUGCAAGUCGAACGGUAACAGGUUAAGCUGACGAGUGGCGAACGGGUGAGUAAUGCAUCGGAACGUGCCCGAUCGUGGGGGAUAACGCAGCGAAAGCUGCGCUAAUACCGCAUACGAUCUGAGGAUGAAAGCGGGGGACCGUAAGGCCUCGCGCGAUCGGAGCGGCCGAUGUCAGAUUAGGUAGUUGGUGGGGUAAAGGCCCACCAAGCCGACGAUCUGUAGCUGGUCUAAGAGGACGACCAGCCACACUGGGACUGAGACACGGCCCAGACUCCUACGGGAGGCAGCAGUGGGGAAUUUUGGACAAUGGGCGAAAGCCUGAUCCAGCUAUGCCGCGUGCAGGAAGAAGGCCUUCGGGUUGUAAACUGCUUUUGUACGGAGCGAAAAGGUCCUUUCUAAUACAAGGGGCUCAUGACGGUACCGUAAGAGUAAGCACCGGCUAACUACGUGCCAGCAGCCGCGGUAA
rnacentral:rRNA from 1 species